UAGUAUCAGCGUGCCAGCCGCCGCGGUAAUACGGAGGAUCCAAGCGUUAUCCGGAAUCUAUUGGGUUUAAAGGGUCCGUAGGACGGUUUUAUAAGUCAGUGGUGAAAUCCGGGCAGCUUAACUGUCGAACUGCCAUUGAUACUGUAGAACUUGAAUUAUUGUGAAGUAACUAGAAUAUGUAGUGUAGCGGUGAAAUGCUUUAGAUAAUUACAUGGAAUACCAAAUUGCGAAGGCAGGUUACUAACAAUACAUUGACGCUGAUGGACGAAAGCGU
rnacentral:rRNA from 1 species